GACGAACGCUGGCGGCGUGCUUAACACAUGCAAGUCGAACGAUGAAGCCGGAGCUUGCUCUGGUGAAUUAGUGGCGAACGGGUGAGUAACACGUGAGUAACCCGCCCUUGACUCUGGGAUAACUGCUAGAAAUGGUAGCUAAUACCGGAUACGACCCUCGGAGGCAUCUCCAGGGGGUGGAAAGAAUUUCGGUCAAGGAUGGACUCGCGGCCUAUCAGCUGGUUGGUGAGGUAACGGCUCACCAAGGCGACGACGGGUAGCCGGCCUGAGAGGGUGACCGGCCACACUGGGACUGAGACACGGCCCAGACUCCUACGGGGGGCAGCAGUGGGGAAUAUUGCACAAUGGGCGCAAGCCUGAUGCAGCAACGCCGCGUGAGGGAUGACGGCCUUCGGGUUGUAAACCUCUUUUAGUAGGGAAGAAGCGAAAGUGACGGUACCUGCAGAAAAAGCACCGGCUAACUACGUGCCAGCCGCCGCCGUAA
rnacentral:rRNA from 1 species